UACAGAGGUCUCAAGCGUUGUUCGGAUUCAUUGGGCGUAAAGGGUGCGUAGGCGGCUCAGUAAGUCAGGUGUGAAACCUCCAGGCUCAACCUGGAGACGCCACCUGAUACUGCUGUGGCUAGAGUCCGGUAGGGGAGCGUGGAAUUCCUGGUGUAGCGGUGAAAUGCGCAGAUAUCAGGAGGAACACCAGCGGCGAAGGCGGCGCUCUGGGCCGGAACUGACGCUGAGGAGCGAAAGCGUGGGUAGCAAACAGG
rnacentral:rRNA from 1 species